UUAUUCGAAACUGAAAAAAGGUCUGAAGAGAUUAAACUCUGCGUGAAAGCUUGAAAUAUAGCCUAAUAAUAAAAAGUCUUUCAAGAUCGAAACUAAUCUUUGAUGUUUUGGUAGUGUUAGGAAAUUCAAUGUGCAGUAUUUUAUAAAGGGCCAGUCAGCCACUGAGGCGACAUAGGCAGCUGCUUAGAGCGCCAUCUUCUGUGGGUUGCCAACUUAACUUUCGAUUUCAGUUGAACCUCCAGAAGUACUCGCACCCUUUGAACUGCGGGCACAUCUGGGCAAUUAAUCACAUACAAGCAGCUCAUUCAAUUCAAUUCAAUUCAAUUCAAUUAUUUUAUUGUCAUGUGUACAAGUAUGAGUACCAUGUACAAUUAAAUGAUUGCUUGUAUAUGCUCCUGCAGACAAUGAACAUAGACAACAGGACGACAAGUGAAUGUGAAGUUGUCCCUUUUCUCAUCUACGGCUGUUUACCUAACCGGAGGAUGCCAGUGAUUAUCUGAUUAACAGGCAGCGGCCUCAGCUUCCACCAGCAUGUUGUUUUUCACCCAAGAGAAGAAAAGAACCGUAGGAGUCGUUCAUUGUCAGUGGAUCUUAUACAAUCCUCUGGUCCACCAGGAGCAGGGCCAGAUUUGCCUUAGGUGUGAAGAAUAAUUACCACAAGCCAGGAACCCGGCGCGGACGGCGCAUUCAGGAGAUCUGAGACGGAGGUGGCAGAAGAGAGGAGCAAAAGGAAAGAGAGUCCCCAAGAAAUGUGAAGAGGAAGCAAGAAAAGUGAAUGGAGGGAAUGGAGAAAAAAAAUGAAGAAAAGCCCCCCAACGGCAUUUCAGCUUCUGCCCUCCAUGUCCUUAUCAGUCCGACACUCGCUUUCAUCCCAUUUUCCACGCUACAGAACUGAGGUUUUGACGGCAAAAGAAAAAAAAAAUCUCACCCAGAAGGCCUGAUUUAGGGGAACAAAGAGCACCGGGGGUUUUGCUGGAAAUGCUGGUGGUGUCUCUGUCGUCAGGAGGAGUUCAGGGCAACGAUGGAAAGAUGUCCUUUUCGGGCCCCUCUCUCUGCCCCAAACGUGGGCUCCAGCCACCGCGAGAGGAUAAUGAGCCAAACGAACACAGUUCAGGUUGCAGGCCAGCAGAGACAGCACUUGAUAAUGACCUUCUGACCCUAAGGGGUCAGAGGUCAAAGUAGGAGGAUACACCCAUGGAGUCAAGGGAGUCCCAUUGACAGGAACCAAACCAGCAGCCUCUAAAGAAGUAACAACCUACAAGCUGGCAUGGUGCUGCCCUCUUCCUGUCUGAAAUCCCCCUUGGAACCAAGCAGAAGCAGGUCAGGAAGCAGGUUAGAAAAACAAAGCUGUAGAUCAGCCAGCAGGCUUUUUUAUUAUUGAAGUUUGUGGGAUAUGCCAAAGAUCACAGCAGGGGUGUCGGAGGGGCAUGAAUACCCUGGCAGAUUCAGGGGCCCCAAAAUCUACUGUCGGGGGCCCCCACCUCAGCAAAAUCUAUCUACUGUGGGACCCAUAUUUCUUCAGACUGAAAGUUGAAAGUGCCAACCCAAGCAAUUGGCCCAAGGAUUUGGUCUGGGGGGCCCACAAUGUCUUGCUACUCCCCCUGGUCACACUGCUCAGAACAUCAGCCUUGCGGGGACGUGCAGCUGUGAGGGGGGGCUCAGGCCAGCCCCACCAUGCCUGACUUAAUGACCGUGUCUUAUGGCCCAUAUCAGGAAAUGUUUGCAAUAUUUAGCUGGAUGCCACCUUUCUCAGGCGACACCCGUGACUAACAACAGUCUUUAUCUAUUCAAAUGAUCUGGGUAUCUUUCAUCCCACAACCAAGACCUGAAACGACAAGGAAGGUUAUUCCGGGUUCGCAUCACACCGCCAGUGCGUCGACCCGGAUGUGCCCCCCCCCCCCAUCCUCGAGCCCCCCGGUGCUGUGAUCAAACGGGUGCCAUCCUCAGAUGUACCGCGGCCCCACAGAUGACCCGAGGCCCCCCGCCUUAUCUGCGGCAGACACACGGACACUGGCGGGAAGGG